UUUGAGGGGAAUGUUGUCUGGCUCGAGGCCACCAACUCUUUGAUAUCGAUGAUCUCUUAAUUGUUUUAAUCUUUUUUACAGAGAGAGAAAACAGUUAGUGUCGUCGGACCAGGCUUCAUUCCCCCCAAU
rnacentral:pre_miRNA from 1 species